UGUAUACGAUUAUGCUGUGUGUAAGAAUUACAACAACUCAAUAAGACAACAAGAACCACAAGAGAGAGAGAGCUAUACCAUGAAGUCAUCACAUAUAGCUCUAAUAUCAAUAGUCAUGUUCACCCUCUUUUCUUGUGUGAGGAUGGAGGUUAGAGAGAUUGAGGGAACGAACUCCGAAAACGUCAGUGAAGAGUGUUACCCUGGUCCAUGCCAUGCAAUGGUGCCUCAUUGUUGGUGCUGCAAACAUUUAGACCACUGUUGGUCAGGCACAACUGGUCACAACUUUUGCAACAUGCAGUGUAACACAAGUUUAAACCCUUGAUAUGAUUAAUUAAAACAAGGGAAGCAUGAAGAACUAGUUCUAUUUUGUUUACUAAAAAUAAAUAAACGUCUCGCAAAGUUAUAGACUCUA